AGAAAAAAAAUUAUCUGUAGGUCGCGUACUCCACAGCAGCUCAGUACGUAGGUCAGUGGCUGGCGCUACUUGAUUACUCCCACUCCCACUCCCACAAACCACCGCCGGUUAUCGCCGUGAACGGUGAACCCACAAUCCGAUUUGGGGAUACCUACCUCACAGUGGCUGACUUGCUGGUGGUUGCUGGCUUGCUUUUGCGUGAGAUUGUGUGAUUUGGAGAAUUGGAGUUGCUGCUGUGAUUCUGGCAUGUUCCUGUGUGUUCUCAGCAAGACUUUGCUUUUGGUAAUUCUGUUUUCAUGUGGGUAGCUGAGAGCAUGUUCAAAGUUUGAUUGAUCAAUUAUAGAGUUAGAGAAGUUGAAGGGAGAGUCCAGGUUUGAACUACUUGCCAUUUGUGAGUUGGGUGCAGAAGAUCAUCAUAUUCCGUGUGGCUAGAAGUCAAUUCCAGGUCAUCAAUAAAGGCGUGAGGAUGAGGCUCUCACUGGGUUUCAAACCACAAAAAAAAAAAAAAAAUGGUGUACUUCUAAUUAGCCUAGACAAAUCUCGGAUCCUGGAUCCAUCACUGGUUAUAUGUUCCACCACUUGCAGGAUAUAGGAAUUGGUUGUUCUUAUUCCUUGCUCAGUCGGUCUCUUUCCCCGGUUGAUCCGCAAUAGACGACGGUGCUACAGAGGGGUUUUACAGAGUUGAUCUUAGUUAAUUUCAGACGGAGAGCUACGACAGAUGUGUCUGUUUAAUUAUCUUUUUGAAUUGAACUGCUAUUCUGCACUAGCCUUUGCAUCAAUUGGGUUGAUGCAUGCAUUUUGUUUUUGGUCUGGCAUGCAUGCAUGGUUGCUGAUGAUGUAUUUAAAGAAGUUACAACUAGCUUAUUGCGAUGGUAAUGCAUCAACAAACACCAACCAAAGGAUAAUUUGAUCAUCAAAUUGCUUCAUCAUCAAAUUGCUUGAUCAUCGCGUUUCUAGAAGCAAUGCAGGUGCCAAAUUGCAAAGUGAUUAUCGGCUGGGAACAUUGGUUAUUUUUUGUUUUUUCAUACAUCCAUUUAUUAAUCAAAAAGUUAAAGAAGUUACCCACUGCAAGUUAUUCAAGUAAAAUAACUCUAAAACCAUGCACAACAAAGACUCAAAAAAGAAAAAAAAAAAAGGAAAAAAAAAAAAAAAA